UUUUUUUCUUACUUUUGCACUGGUCAGCGUAACGAUAUCAAUAUUUUGUUACUAGCUUAAACCUAGGCCAAUCACUAUUUAUGAUGCAAACAUAUUCAAAGCUCAUAAUGAGUUUUUAUCCUAUUUGCUCACCUUAGCCAAAGGACUACGAACCCCCUAUCCUAUCCCCUCUGGUUUACAUUUUCAACUACUUCUCAAAAACACAAAUAGUAACAAAGCAAAUCCUCAGGCAGGGAGGUUUGAAAUUGUUCUGAAGGGCUACUGACCCCUCUAGGAGGAGAGGGUUUGGGAGUAGCAACCCCUUGAAAUUCCCUCUUGUUUACAUUUUCAACUUCUCAAAAAUGCAAGGCCAGAUAUUAACCAAACGUGGAAGGAAUCAAUUUUAAGCAAGGGAGAUAUAAAGUUGUUCGAAUUAAGUUACGUAUCGCCAGUGGGGGCCCAGAGGCACCCCCCCCCCCCUCAAAUUCAUUAGUGGCAGUAAUUGCACAUUUUAUUAUUCUUCUUGAAACCCGUUCGCUGGAUUCAAACUAAAGUGUGUAGGAAUCAUCUGCAGGAAAGGGAGUUCUUAAGUUAUUAAAGUGGGGUAUAAUUAUUCCCCCAUUUAUUAUGAACGGGGCUUGGGGCAACCUUCAAUACCCACCUUCUGUUCAUUUUCCUUAGAAACCAAAGGAAAGAAGAACAUAAAUAUACCCACGUGCUGUGAAUCCAAAGAGGUUGUUUAUUAGACGUACUUUAUAAUUAAUAGUAAAGUCUAGAUCUAUAUCUAAGUGAUGAAAGCGACUUACUAAGUGGUGGUUACCACUUUCUCAGACUUGGUAUCAGUUUUGUACCUCUUUUUUCGCGCAUGCCCUCUCCCGGGCUUUUCAUACUCUUGAUUUUUUCUUUUUGCUUAAGCAGUCACCUAUUUGCGUCUCCCGAUUUCACCUAUUUGUUUUUUUUACUAUAAAUACGAGUCUAUAUAAAACUGCGGAUGUGUAGCUUUAUGUCUAUGACGUCCGCAGUUAUAUCUCCAUCAAAGGGAUUAUUAACCCUAGAAUUAUUGAUCGCGUGCUAUUGACAAAAAUAAAAGCGGCUAUAACAUAAGGAGGGGGGAUGUACAAAGGAUAGUGUAAGUAGUGUUUUGAGAGUAGAGAAACGAGCUGACCGGCGAACACGUCAAACCAGAAGUGUUACUUUAUUGGGUGUUUUUACUCCAUGGAGACAAUCUUCAUUUGUAUAUGAGCCACCGGGGACGACACCAUGCAAGACUCCGGCGGUCCCAUCAAAAUUCUUCAUUAUGUCAUCUCCAAGUCCUGGACCCUGCCCAUUAUCUUCAUGGGACUCUCAGCAUUUCUCUACAUCUCUUCAGUACACCAAGAUUUCAUGAAAUAUACUAUCAGCAAUGUUCAAAGCCCGUCUCAUAGAGUGUUCAUUGAGCCUUCAUGGAACCAAACAAAUGGAUUGACUGCGAAAACCGCUUUGUCUUCGGCUAGUAGAUUUGUGGCGCCUUCGAUAGAGAACAAAGUUGAAAAGAAGACUCUCACCCCUGGACUGGGUGUCAUCCCUCCAACCUGCAA